CCUACGGGGGGCAGCAGUGAGGAAUAUUGGUCAUUGGGCGGAAGCCUGAACCAGCCAAGUCGCGUGAGGGAAUAAGGCCCUACGGGUCGUAAACCUCUUUUGCCGGGGAGCAAGGGCGGGGACGUGUCCCGGCCCGGAGAGUACCCGGAGAAAAAGCAUCGGCUAACUCCGUGCCAGCAGCCGCGGUAAUACGGAGGAUGCGAGCGUUAUCCGGAUUUAUUGGGUUUAAAGGGUGCGCAGGCGGAAGAUCAAGUCAGCGGUAAAAUUGAGAGGCUCAACCUCUUCGCGCCGUUGAAACUGGUUUU
rnacentral:rRNA from 1 species